rnacentral:misc_RNA from 1 species
AAUUGUGCAUCUUUAGCUCCUCUAAGACCCCCUUCCUCAACUUGGAGAUAGCUAGCUUUGCAUCAUCAUCAUCAUCCGUGCACUCUUCUGCCAAUUCAUAUGCAUGGGCAAAGGCUUUAAGGAAGUGAAAAUCUUGGGCGAUGUAAUGCCUAAAAGUCUCAAUCUUGAGGUUUCCAGCAGCCAAACAGACAACAAAGGGAGUGUACAUAGCGAAAACAGUUUCUCG